GAUGAACGCUGGCGGCGUGCCUAAUACAUGCAAGUCGAGCGAACGGACGAGAAGCUUGCUUCUCUGAUGUUAGCGGCGGACGGGUGAGUAACACGUGGAUAACCUACCUAUAAGACUGGGAUAACUUCGGGAAACCGGAGCUAAUACCGGAUAAUAUUUUGAACCGCAUGGUUCAAAAGUGAAAGACGGUCUUGCUGUCACUUAUAGAUGGAUCUGCGCUGCAUUAGCUAGUUGGUAAGGUAACGGCUUACCAAGGCAACGAUGCAUAGCCGACCUGAGAGGGUGAUCGGCCACACUGGAACUGAGACGCGGUCCAGACUCCUACGGGAGGCAGCAGUAGGGAAUCUUCCGCAAUGGGCGGAAGCCUGGCGGAGCAACGCCGCGUGAGUGAUGAAGGUCUUCGGAUCGUAAAACUCUGUUAUUAGGGAAGAACAUAUGUGUAAGUAACUGUGCACAUCUUGACGGUACCUAAUCAGAAAGCCACGGCUAACUACGUG
rnacentral:rRNA from 1 species